rnacentral:rRNA from 1 species
ACGGAGGGUGCGAGCGUUAUCCGGAUUUAUUGGGUGUAAAGCGUGCGUAGGCGGGGGGAUAAGUCAGUUGUGAAAACCCUCGGCUUAACUUUAGACUUGCCGUUGAUACUGUUAUUCUUGAGUAGGGUAGAGGUAGGGGGAAUUUGUGGUGUAGCGGUGAAAUGCUUAGAUAUCGCGCAGAAUACCGAUUGCGUAGGCGGCCUGCUGGACGUUAACUGACGCUGAUGCGCGAAAGCGUGGGGAGCAAACAG